rnacentral:rRNA from 1 species
ACGACUGCUUGCUAAGACUGGAUAGGAGACAAGAAGGCAUCUUCUUGUUUUUAAAAGACCUAGCAAUAGGUAUGCUUAGGUAGGAGCUUGCGUCACAUUAGUUAGUUGGUGGGGUAAAGGCCUACCAAGACUAUGAUGUGUAGCCGGGCUGAGAGGUUGAACGGCCACAUUGGGACUGAGACACGGCCCAAACUCCUACGGGAGGCAGCAGUAGGGAAUUUUCGGCAAUGGAGGAAACUCUGACCGAGCAACGCCGCGUGAACGAUGAAGUAUUUCGGUACGUAAAGUUCUUUUAUUAGGGAAGAAUAAAUGAUGGAAAAAUCAUUCUGACGGUACCUAAUGAAUAAGCCCCGGCUAACUAUGUGCCAGCAGCCGCGGUAAUACAUAGGGGGCAAGCGUUAUCCGGAAUUAUUGGGCGUAAAGGGUGCGUAGGCGGUUAAAUAAGUUUAUGGUCUAAGUGCAAUGCUCAACAUUGUGAUGCUAUAAAAACUGUUUAGCUAGAGUAAGAUAGAGGCAAGUGGAAUUCCAUGUGUAGUGGUAAAAUGCGUAAAUAUAUGGAGGAACACCAGUAGCGAAGGCGGCUUGCUGGGUCUUUACUGACGCUGAGGCACGAAAGCGUGGGGAGCAAACAGGAUUAGAUACCCUGGUAGUCCACGCCGUAAACGAUGAGUACUAAACGUUGGUUAAAACCAGUGUUGAAGUUAACACAUUAAGUACUCCGCCUGAGUAGUACGUACGCAAGUAUGAAACUUAAAGGAAUUGACGGGACUCCGCACAAGCGGUGGAUCAUGUUGUUUAAUUCGAAGGUACCCGAAAAACCUCACCAGGUCUUGACAUGCUUCUGCAAAGCUGUAGAAACACAGUGGAGGUUAUCAGUUGCACAGGUGGUGCAUGGUUGUCGUCAGCUCGUGUCGUGAGAUGUUGGGUUAAGUCCCGCAACGAGCGCAACCCUUAUUGUUAGUUACCAGCACGUAAUGGUGGGGACUUUAGCAAGACUGCCAGUGAUAAAUUGGAGGAAGGUGGGGACGACGUCAAAUCAUCAUGCCCCUUAUGACCUGGGCUACAAACGUGAUACAAUGGCUGUUACAAAGGGUAGCUGAAGCGCAAGUUUUUGGCGAAUCUCAAAAAAACAGUCUCAGUUCGGAUUGAAGUCUGCAACUCGACUUCAUGAAGUUGGAAUCGCUAGUAAUCGCGAAUCAGCAUGUCGCGGUGAAUACGUUCACGGGGUUUGUACACACCGCCCGUCAAAG